rnacentral:rRNA from 1 species
UACGUAGGGUGCGAGCGUUGUCCGGAAUUACUGGGCGUAAAGCGCGCGUAGGCGGCUUUGCAAGUCGGGUGUGAAAUCCCCAGGCUUAACCUGGGAACUGCAUUCGAGACUGCAUUGCUAGAGUAUGGGAGAGGGAAGUGGAAUUUCCGGUGUAGCGGUGAAAUGCGUAGAUAUCGGAAGGAACAUCAGUGGCGAAAGCGACUUCCUGGACCAAUACUGACGCUCAUGUGCGAAAGCGUGGGGAGCAAACAGG